GAUGAACGCUGGCGGCGUGCCUAAUACAUGCAAGUCGAGCGAACAGACGAGGAGCUUGCUCCUCUGACGUUAGCGGCGGACGGGUGGGUAACACGUGGAUAACCUACCUAUAAGACUGGGAUAACUUCGGGAAACCGGAGCUAAUACCGGAUAAUAUAUUGAACCGCAUGGUUCAAUAGUGAAAGACGGUUUUGCUGUCACUUAUAGAUGGAUCCGCGCCGCAUUAGCUAGUUGGUAAGGUAACGGCUUACCAAGGCGACGAUGCGUAGCCGACCUGAGAGGGUGAUCGGCCACACUGGAACUGAGACACGGUCCAGACUCCUACGGGAGGCAGCAGUAGGGAAUCUUCCGCAAUGGGCGAAAGCUUGACGGAGCAACGCCGCGUGAGUGAUGAAGGUCUUCGGAUCGUAAAACUCUGUUAUUAGGGAAGAACAAAUGUGUAAGUAACUAUGCACGUCUUGACGGUACCUAAUCAGAAAGCCACGGCUAACUACGUG
rnacentral:rRNA from 1 species